rnacentral:rRNA from 1 species
CCCUUAGAUGUUCUGGGCCGCACGCGCGCUACACUGAUGCAUUCAACGAGCCUAUCCUUGACCGACAGGUCCGGGUAAUCUUUGAAUCUGCAUCGUGACGGGGAUAGAUUAUUGCAAUUAUUAAUCUUCAACGAGGAAUGCCUAGUAGGCGCAAGUCAUCAGCUUGCGUCGAUUACGUCCCUGCCCUUUGUACACACCGCCCGUCGCUCCUACCGAUUGGGUGUGCUGGUGAAAUGUUCGGAUCGGCCGUUUAUCGCGGUUUCCGCGUCAUGUGGCUGAGAAGUUCAUUAAACCCUCCCACCUAGAGGAAGGAGAAGUCGUAACA